rnacentral:rRNA from 1 species
UACGUAGGGGGCGAGCGUUGUCCGGAAUUAUUGGGCGUAAAGCGCGCGCAGGCGGUUUCUUAAGUCUGAUGUGAAAGCCCACGGCUUAACCGUGGAGGGUCAUUGGAAACUGGGGAACUUGAGUAUAGAAGAGGAGAGCGGAAUUCCACGUGUAGCGGUGAAAUGCGUAGAUAUGUGGAGGAACACCAGUGGCGAAGGCGGCUCUCUGGUCUGUAACUGACGCUGAGGCGCGAAAGCGUGGGGAGCGAACAGG